rnacentral:rRNA from 1 species
UGAGGAAUAUUGGUCAAUGGGCGAGAGCCUGAACCAGCCAAGUCGCGUGAGGGAAGACGGUCCUACGGAUUGUAAACCUCUUUUGCCGGGGAGCAAAGGGGCCAUUGAUGGCAGGAUGAGCGUACCCGGAGAAAAAGCAUCGGCUAACUCCGUGCCAGCAGCCGCGGUAAUACGGAGGAUGCGAGCGUUAUCCGGAUUUAUUGGGUUUAAAGGGUGCGUAGGUGGCCAUUUAAGUCAGCGGUGAAAGUUUGUGGCUCAACCAUAAAAUUGCCGUUGAAACUGGAGGGCUUGAGUAUGUUUGGGGCAGGCGGAAUGUGUGGUGUAGCGGUGAAAUGCAUAGAUAUCACGCAGAACUCCGAUCGCGAAGGCAGCUUGCCAAGCCAUAACUGACACUGAAGCACGAAAGUGUGGGUAUCAAACAGGAUUAGAUACCCUGGUAGU